GACGAACGCUGGCGGCGUGCUUAACACAUGCAAGUCGAACGGAAAGGCCCUGCUUUUGUGGGGUGCUCGAGUGGCGAACGGGUGAGUAACACGUGAGUAACCUGCCCUUGACUUUGGGAUAACUUCAGGAAACUGGGGCUAAUACCGGAUAGGAGCUCCUGCUGCAUGGUGGGGGUUGGAAAGUUUCGGCGGUUGGGGAUGGACUCGCGGCUUAUCAGCUUGUUGGUGGGGUAGUGGCUUACCAAGGCUUUGACGGGUAGCCGGCCUGAGAGGGUGACCGGCCACAUGGGGACUGAGAGACGGCCCAGACGCCUACGGGAGGCAGCAGUGGGGAAUAUGGCACAAUGGGCGGAAGCCUGAUGUAGCAACGCCGCGUGCGGGAUGACGGCUUUCGGGUUGUAAACCGCUUUCGCCUGUGACGAAGCGUGAGUGACGGUAAUGGGUAAAGAAGCACCGGCUAACUACGUG
rnacentral:rRNA from 1 species